UUUAAAUGCAACCAUGAGUUUUCGUGCCCAACUUUAGUCGUUCGUCUUAUUUGAUUUUUUUUUCUUUUUGUAAUUAGUAUUUUUGUUGUUAUGAGAUGAUAAAACAUGAAUAAUACCUUAUGCGUGGCCUAUGUUUUUUAUUUUUUUAAAAAAUUUUUUAAAUAAGACGGACAAUUAAAAUUGGGCAUAGAAACUCAUGACUGCACUUAAA
rfam:Oryza meridionalis cultivar OR44 (W2112) chromosome 8, whole genome shotgun sequence.